rnacentral:lncRNA from 1 species
CACAACAUCUUUGGAUGUUGUGAAUAUAGUAUUAAAUAACAUCACUCUUAUUAUUUUACUUGUUUGUUGUUGUUGUUUUUCCUAGGCACUUUGUGUUCCCAGUGUUGCAGACUCAUACAUGGAACCACUUAUGACUUUACAGCAGUAGCCACGGAUUAUAUGUGGGCUGCUAUGAAGACCUUACCUCAUCAUUUUGCAUAAUCAUCAUGACUGAAGUAACAAUUGCUGCAGCUAGCACUAUUGAUCUCAAUAGUGCUCAGGUAAUUAAGAGCUCUUUAUGAAGUACUCAAAUGAAAAAGGAGGAUUUUCAGCAGUUCUCAGCAUUGUUGUUCCAGGUAAGAGCUAUCAGCUUCCCACAAACUUAAAAAAUCUGUCCAUGGCACACUGAAAACAUGUAGUACAGCAUAAAUUUGUAGAUAUUUAAUUUUUUUGUCAAAUCUGGUAAGCAUAUCAGGAGAGUUCUUACGGAAUGUCUUACUGUUGCACAGGACUUGUACUGCAGAAAUGGUGUGGAUCCCCAGAUGGAAGGAAUUGUACUAAUUGACACACUCUUUCAAGAUUUCAAUUGCAAAUCACGUGAAAAGUACAGACACCUUUCCUAAAUAAGUAAAAAGAAGAGAAUAUGUUGAGUGAAGUAGUCAGGAUUUAAAAGAGACUGGAGAUUUGUCAAAUGAAGAAUUUACAGAGUGACCUUAUGUCAGGUGGCAUAGAGUUGAUUUUCUUCCUAGAGGAGCUUUGCAGAAAUAAAAAAUACUCAAAAUCAGCAUCACCAAGAACAGCAGUGUUGUUCAGAACAUCUGUUAUUGAAGAGCUCGGCCUCAAGCAUCUUUAAAUGAGCAUCUGGUUGUUUAUUUAUUUAUUUGUUUACUGUUGCAAUUGAUUUUAAAAUAAUCAAGACAUUGUAAAUCCAAAAGUCUUUUAGAAGUAUUUUAAGGAAUGCUGGAAAACAAUUGUUUCUACAAUUGAACAGCUUACCUAUGUUUUGCACAGCAAUAUCAGACUGCAACAAUAAAAAAACCAGUUAUUCUUCUGUCA